rnacentral:rRNA from 1 species
UACGGAGGAUGCGAGCGUUAUCCGGAUUUACUGGGUGUAAAGGGGGCGCAGACGGCGAUGCAAGCCAGGAGUGAAAGCCCCGGGCCCAACCCCGGGACUGCUCUUGGAACUGCGUGGCUGGAGUGCAGGAGGGGCAGGCGGAAUUCCUGGUGUAGCGGUGAAAUGCGUAGAUAUCAGGAGGAACACCGGUGGCGAAGGCGGCCUGCUGGACUGCAACUGACGUUGAGGCCCGAAAGCGUGGGGAGCAAACAGG